AGGAUUGGAUUAAUUUUUGAUUUAGGGUUUAAGAUUUGGUUAAGAUUUGAUUUAGGAUUAAGGUUUAUUUAAGGUUAUUUAGGUUUUGAUAGGAUUUGGUUAAGAUUUUUUUAGAGUUGUUUAGGGUUUGUUUAGGAUUUGGUUAGGAUUUGAUUUAGGAUUUAGGAUUUGGUUAGGAUUUGAUUAAGAUUAGGAUUUGGUUAA
rnacentral:lncRNA from 1 species